AUGUCAAUUUCCCGGUUCGAGAUGUUUCAUCUUUUCUUUUCCGGAGUUCCAAGUUUUCCACUUUAUCUCGUCGUGAAGCUCCAUCUAAAUCAUCGCAAGGCUUCACCUUGUGUUUUCAACUUCCCUUUUUUUAUCAUCCUUUUAUUACCGGAGUUCUUCAUGGAGGCUCUACAUGGUGGUUCGUCAAGGAUUCUUUUCAUUCCUCAAUUGUUCUUCAAGUUUUUCUCUCAGAGUCAUGAUCCGCCAAGCUACACUCUAUCUAAACAUGGUGCCCAACACAUGUUUUUUCCUGAGGAGUUCAAAUAUUCUUCUUCUUGCAUUUCGAAGUGCAAUUCUUUCUACAUUAUCUUGUGA
rnacentral:rRNA from 1 species